GACGUAGGGGGCGAGCGUUGUCCGGAUUUACUGGGCGUAAAGAGCGCGCAGGCGGUCGUUCAAGUCGAGUGUGAAAGCCCCCGGCUCAACUGGGGAGGGUCACUCGAUACUGAUCGACUCGAAGGCAGGAGAGGGAAGCGGAAUUCCCGGUGUAGUGGUGAAAUGCGUAGAUAUCGGGAGGAACACCGGUGGCGAAGGCGGCGACCUGGGUGGAUACUGACGCUGAGGUGCGAAAGCGUGGGGAGCAAACAGG
rnacentral:rRNA from 1 species